UACAGAGGUGGCAAGCGUUUGUUCGGAAUUACUGGGCGUAAAGGGCGCGUAGGCGGCGUGUCAAGUCAGGCGUGAAAUCCCCCGGGCUCAACCUGGGAAUUGCGAUGGAGACUGCAAGGCUAGAAUCUGGCAGAGGGGGGGUAGAAUUCCACGUGUAGCAGUGAAAUGCGUAGAGAUGUGGAGGAACACCGAUGGCGAAGGCAGCCCCCCUGGGUCAAGAUUGACGCUCAUGCACGAAAGCGUGGGGAGCAAACAGG
rnacentral:rRNA from 1 species